UACGUAGGGUGCAAGCGUUGUCCGGAAUUAUUGGGCGUAAAGAGCUCGUAGGCGGUUUGUCGCGUCUGCUGUGAAAACUCGGGGCUUAACUCCGGGCCUGCAGUGGGUACGGGCAGACUAGAGUGCGGUAGGGGAGACUGGAAUUCCUGGUGUAGCGGUGAAAUGCGCAGAUAUCAGGAGGAACACCUGCGGCGAAGGCGGGUUGCUGGGCUGAUACUGACGCUGAGGCGCGAAAGCUAGGGGAGCGAACGGG
rnacentral:rRNA from 1 species